rnacentral:sRNA from 1 species
UCAGCCUCCUGAGUAGCUGGGACUACAGGCGCCCGCCACCACGCCCAGCUAAAUUUUUUUGUAUUUUUAGUAGAGACGGGGUUUCACUGUGUUAGCCAGGAACCGACCGCAAACGAGGCCGCCAGACCUACACCCGCUACCAGACCCUGGAGCUGGAGAAAGAAUUCCACUACAAUCGCUACCUGACGCGGCGGCGGCGCAUCGAGAUCGCGCACGCGCUCUGCCUCACAGAAAGACAGAUCAAGAUUUGGUUUCAGAACCGGCGCAUGAAGUGGAAAAAGGAGAACAAGACCGCGAGCCCCGGGACCACCGGCCAGGACAGGGCUGAAGCAGAGGAGGAAGAGGAAGAGUGAGGAUGGAGAAAGGGCAGAGGAAGAGACAUGAGAAAGGGAGAGGAAGAGAAGCCCAGCUCUGGGAACUGAAUCAGGAAACUCAAAUCAAAUAGGGAAGUAAAAAACAAAAAACAAAAAAC